CUACCACAUCUAAGGAAGGCAGCAGGCGCGAAAAUUACUCAAUACUAAUACAGUGAGGUAGUAACAAUAAAUAACACAGCCCAGCAUUUCAUGUUGGGCUUUUGGAAUGAGAACAAUUUAAAUCCAUUAUCGAGGAUCAAUUGGAGGGCAGGUCUGGUGCCAGCAGCCGCGGUAAUUCCAGCUCCAAUAGCGUAUAUUAAAGUUGCUGCAGUUAAAAAGCUCGUAGUUGGAUUUCUAGCGAGGCACGAGAAUAUCCACCUAUGGUGAAUACUUCUCUCGCCUUGCUCUUCUUUAGUUGAUGUCUCUGGCAUUAAGUUGUCGGAGUCCUGAGACUAAUCGUUUACUGUGAGAAAAUUAGAGUGUUCAAAGCAGGCUUAUGCCGUUGAAUAUAUUAGCAUGGAAUAAUAAGAUAGGACUUCGGUACUAUUUUGUUGGUUUGCGUACUGAUGUAAUGAUAAAUAGGGACUGGCGUGGGUAUUCGUAUUUUAAUGUCAGAGGUGAAAUUCUUAGAUUAUUGAAAGACGGACGACUGCGAAAGCAUCUACCAAGUAUGUUUUCAUUAAUCAAGAACGAAAGUAUGGGGAUCGAAGA
rnacentral:rRNA from 1 species